rnacentral:rRNA from 1 species
CCUACGGGAGGCAGCAGUAGGGAAUUUUCGACAAUGGGGGGAACCCUGAACCAGCAACGCCGCGUGAGUGAAGACGGUUUUCGGAUUGUAAAGCUCUGUUGUUAGUGAAAAAUGGUUACGAUAGCUAAUGAGCAAACCACGGCUAAAUACGGGCCAGCAGCCGCGGUAAUACGUAGGUGGCAAGCGUUGUCCGGACUUACGGGGUGUAAAGGGAGCGCAGGCGGGGAGCCAAGUCAGAUGUGAAAACCCAGGGCCCAACCUGUGGACUGCAGUUGAAACUGGUUGGCUGGAGUGCAGUAGAGGCAGGCGGAAUUCCGGGUGUAGCGGUGAAAUGCGUAGAUAUCAGGAGGAACACCGGUGGCGAAGGCGGCCAGCUGGGCUGCAACUGACGCUGAGGCCCGAAAGCGUGGGGAGCAAACAGGAUUAGAUACCCGGGUAGUC